rnacentral:rRNA from 1 species
GAUGAACGCUGGCGGCGUGCCUAAUACAUGCAAGUCGAGCGAACAGAUGAGGAGCUUGCUCCUCUGACGUUAGCGGCGGACGGGUGAGUAACACGUGGAUAACCUACCUAUAAGACUGGGAUAACUUCGGGAAACCGGAGCUAAUACCGGAUAAUAUAUUGAACCGCAUGGUUCAAUAGUGAAAGACGGUUUUGCUGUCACUUAUAGAUGGAUCCGCGCCGCAUUAGCUAGUUGGUAAGGUAACGGCUUACCAAGGCAACGAUGCGUAGCCGACCUGAGAGGGUGAUCGGCCACACUGGAACUGAGACACGGUCCAGACUCCUACGGGAGGCAACAGUAGGGAAUCUUCCGCAAUGGGCGAAAACCUGACGGAGCAACGCCGCGUGAGUGAUGAAGGUCUUCGGAUCGUAAAACUCUGUUAUUAGGGAAGAACAAAUGUGUAAGUAACUAUGCACGUCUUGACGGUACCUAAUCAGAAAGCCACGGCUAACUACGUG